rnacentral:tRNA from 1 species
GUGGCUGUAGCUUAGUCCGGUCAAGAGCGCCAGGUUGUGGCCCUGGAGGCCGCGGGUUCGAAUCCCGCCAGCCACCCUA